rnacentral:rRNA from 1 species
UACGUAGGGGGCUAGCGUUGCUCGGAAUCACUGGGCGUAAAGCGCACGUAGGCGGCUUUCUAAGUCAGGGGUGAAAUCCUGGAGCUCAACUCCAGAACUGCAUUUGAUACUGGAGAGCUCGAGUCCGGAAGAGGUGAGUGGAACUGCGAGUGUAGAGGUGAAAUUCGUAGAUAUUCGCAAGAACACCAGUGGCGAAGGCGGCUCACUGGUCCGGUACUGACGCUGAGGUGCGAAAGCGUGGGGAGCAAACAGG